GGGCUUUUAGUUUUGAAAUACCGUGAAUAUACUCGAGAAGUAAGACGCUUUUUAAAUGAGAAUUAUCACCGCUGGAUCGGUCGCGAUGGGUCAUGUCAGAUCGAUUGUGUGUAAUGAUAACAUAACGAGCGUUGUACAAUUAAAACAAACAAUUAUUAUAGCGUUUAAAUAAUUAAAAUUGCAUAAGGAUACAUUAGAAAACGCUUAGUGUAAUUUAAUAAAAAGAGCACAGUUAUGUUUGCAACAACGUGGACAUUACUUCCAACAGUUUAUAAAUUAGACGAAUUCUUGAAAAAUCAUUGUACGCCGAGGGUAUCACGUUUUCGGGUUUGCAACGAGAAGAAUGAGAAAACGAUCCAGGGAAAGAUGCAAUUCCAUUUAUUAGUCAUCGAAGGAAGCAAAUACAUCGCUUACGCUUAUAAUUUACGCUCGCUUCUUUAAUAAAUAAUAAUUUAUGUACUCUACGAGACGUGGAAAGCCUGUAUAAUAACACUGGGCCGCUAAGACAGCGAUAUAAUUACGCUACCUUGAUAAAAAUCCAUUAACGGCGGAGGUAUUUUAUUAUCCUAUUCGAAGUGUCCCGUUAUGUAGACGAACAACGAAAUUUAUACAGUGUUGCUAGCUGCUUAUUAUUUACGCCGACGCAGUCGAUUAGUCUGUAACGCGUGGAACGCGUUUCUUGUACCUACGUAUUGCGUCAUCGAGCUAACAAAUACAGAUAAAGUAAUAGUCGCUUACGAUCGUUAAUGGACCCAUCUCAGAAGGAUAAACCUGGGUAACGUUUCGCUUUGAGUAUUUUCGUGCAUGGGGACGGUUUAGAAGGAUUUAAGGGGAGGAUGGGGACAUUGAAGUGUUAUCCACUCCUCGGAAUACCUGAAGAUAGGAAGUGAGGAAAUUACACCGCUUAAAGGUCGUCGUAUACUUAAUCCUUUGCAUUUGAGAGAUGAUUCUUAGUCAUCAUUUGAUUUGAUACGGUAAAAUCGUAAAGUUUAAUAUUUAAUAUUGAAGUUUAAUAUUGAAGUAUUCAGAUAAAAUAGUUUUAUUUCUUAAUUUAUGUGUAAACUAUUGUUAAAUUAAUUUCAACAAACAUCGUCUGUUUCUCGACAGAAGAUGUUGAAUAUUUCUAGCGAAAAACU